CUAACACAUGCAAGUCGAGCGGUAGCACAGAGAGCUUGCUCUCGGGUGASGAGCGGCGGACGGGUGAGUAAUGUCUGGGAAACUGCCUGAUGGRGGGGGAUAACUACUGGAAACGGUAGCUAAUACCGCAUAAYGUCGCAAGACCAAAGUGGGGGACCUUCGGGCCUCAUGCCAUCAGAUGUGCCCAGAUGGGAUUAGCUAGUAGGUGGGGUAAYGGCUCACCUAGGCGACGAUCCCUAGCUGGUCUGAGAGGAUGACCAGCCACACUGGAACUGAGACACGGUCCAGACUCCUACGGGAGGCAGCAGUGGGGAAUAUUGCACAAUGGGCGCAAGCCUGAUGCAGCCAUGCCGCGUGUGUGAAGAAGGCCUUCGGGUUGUAAAGCACUUUCAGCGGGGAGGAAGGCGRURAGGUUAAUAACCUUGUCGAUUGACGUUACCCGCAGAAGAAGCACCGGCUAACUCCGUGCCAGCAGCCGCGGUAAUACGGAGGGUGCAAGCGUUAAUCGGAAUUACUGGGCGUAAAGCGCACGCAGGCGGUCUGUCAAGUCGGAUGUGAAAUCCCCGGGCUCAACCUGGGAACUGCAUUCGAAACUGGCAGGCUAGAGUCUUGUAGAGGGGGGUAGAAUUCCAGGUGUAGCGGUGAAAUGCGUAGAGAUCUGGAGGAAUACCGGUGGCGAAGGCGGCCCCCUGGACAAAGACUGACGCUCAGGUGCGAAAGCGUGGGAGCAAACAGGAUUAGAUACCCUGGUAGUCCACGCCGUAAACGAUGUCGAUUUGGAGGUUGUGCCCUUGAGGCGUGGCUUCCGGAGCUAACGCGUUAAAUCGACCGCCUGGGGAGUACGGCCGCAAGGUUAAAACUCAAAUGAAUUGACGGGGCCCGCACAAGCGGUGAGCAUGUGGUUUAAUUCGAUGCAC
rnacentral:rRNA from 1 species